GGGCACGGCGGGGUGUUCCUCGUGCUGUGUUGAACCGGGGAGGGAAAAGCUCUGCCACAGCAGGGCAGCAGCUCGGGCUGUUUUACCUUUAUGAGUCACGUUUAGCAUCCUCUAGCUCGAGGGCGCGGGUCGGCAGCGUCCUGUGUUAGAAGCCUGAGUGCUGUGCUUCCCAGAGCCGCGUCCUCGUGUUCGAAGGGGGCGUUCUGCGGGCCCGGCUCUGCAGCUGGCGGGGCGCUGAGCUGUGUGGGGCUCUGGGGUUUGCUGCGUAAAAUCGGGAGCCCACGCAUAACUAUAAAUAUCAGUGCUUCUUGUGGGCUGGAAUAAGCUGGGCACAGCUUCACCUAGCGACAAGAUGCUGAGCAAUCCUGGAGUGAGUAAAGGAAUGACCCAGGCAGCUGAGACAUUGUGUGCAGGGAUCAGUUUUUCAGGAGCCAGCAGCUGGGCUCAGAGACAACAGAUGCAGACAGCGGUUAGUGCUCCAGCCAGCCUCAGCUUUCCCUGUCUAAAUGCAAUGUUGUGGUGUUGGGCAGAUGGAAGGGAAAGAGCCCUGAGGAAGCAGAGGAGAGAGCAGGGUGAUUAUUUCCUGAUUCUCGGCACCUGUUUGGACAGACAGACACACUGACAUUUACAGAGCCUCAAGAACUGCAAGCUUUUAUGCAUACCUAUAUAAAGAGGUGUUGAAACCAGCAAUCUGUAAUUUACAGUCUGCAGCAGGAGAUCCACUGGACGCAGCAUGCUGGAGCAUGAGCUCUGCUGUCAGCCCAAUUGUCAGCUGGAUGCCAAAGCAGUGGAGUGAUGCCCCUUGGGUCACAGCUUUCUGCGUUGAUCACAAAUUAGUAGAGUCAUGAGUCUUAAGAGAACUGCUGAGCUCCUGAGGCACUCGGCAGACCUUAAUGAAGUGCUCUUACAUGCGUGUACACAAACAUGUGCAUACGUGUGCUGUUGAAUGGUGCUUGAAUCAUCACUGUUGCCUGUCAAAGAAGACAUACAGUACUGUUUCAUUGACACAAAUGUUGGUUAUCUGUGAUUUCUACUGAAGAGGUGUA